rnacentral:rRNA from 1 species
GACAGAGGUCCCAAGCGCUAGGCGGAAUCACUGGGCUUAAAGCGUGUGUAGGCGGAGUUCUAAGUACCUUGUGAAAUCCCACGGCUCAACCGUGGAACUGCUUGGUAUACUGGUUCUCUUGGGCCAUCUAGGGGCUAGCGGAACAAACGGUGGAGCGGUGAAAUGCGUAGAUAUCGUUUGGAACGCCAAUGGUGAAAACAGCUAGCUGGGGAUGUGCCGACGCUGAGACACGAAAGCCAGGGGAGCGAACGGG